rnacentral:tRNA from 1 species
GGCCGGGUAGCUCAGUCGGUAGAGCAUCGGAACGUUAUUCCAAGGCCCCGGGUUCGAGUCCCGGUCUGGCUG